rnacentral:rRNA from 1 species
UACGUAGGGGGCAAGCGUUGUCCGGAAUCAUUGGGCGUAAAGCGCGUGUAGGCGGCCAGAAAAGUCCGCUGUGAAAACUCGAGGCUCAACCUCGAGACGUCGGUUGAAACCACCUGGCUAGAGUCCGGAAGAGGAGAGUGGAAUUCCUGGUGUAGCGGUGAAAUGCGCAGAUAUCAGGAAGAACACCGGUGGCGAAGGCGGCUCUCUGGGACGGUACUGACGCUGAGACGCGAAAGCGUGGGGAGCGAACAGG